GAAAAAUCUACAUUUUGCUGUUACUACAGACUGCAACAGCAGUGAGUGGCACCAAUUGUUCUGUAAGUGUUUUUUACAUUGUGUUACAUUGAUUUCUACUCACUGCAGGAAGAAGGAUGUGAGCGACACGCUAACAACCAGCAGGUCAAGCAGGUUGAAGGCGUUUCUACAGAAAGAACCAGGGUGCAGAAAUGCUCCAUACACCGUCAUCUGGACAAAUAUGAGGAUGUGCAGAAACAACAUGUGAAACAAGUCACUCUCUGAGUCUAAGUCAUGGGUUUUCCACCUUCAUACCUUCAGUACGAUCUCCACAGUAAAAACUGAAGUGAACACAUAAUCAGCGUACCCCAGCACCUGAGGAAGACAAGGAUUAGACCUGCUCACAGGAGGAGACCAGGACCAGCUUGGAGGAGGAGAUGAUGCUGAAACUCACAAUGUUUCUGAAUGAGUGGGAUUUGAUGGGAUCCUCAGCAGCCAGUGAGAUGCUGCUGAGGAUGAUGAAAAUGAGGAUGAAGUUGGUGAAGUAAGGGUGAUGGAUGAGGUUAUGGCAGGCAACUCGUAGGCUGAGAAAUGAAGGGUGAGAAGAAGAAUUAAUAUAAUGUAACCUAUUGUCUUUUUCCUUCCCUUUUAUUUGUAAGUUAGAUUUACCAGUUUUUCUUUCCAAGAAUGAAGAAGGAGCUUCCAUCAGGGAUUGGAAUGAUUUUCUCUUUGGGUCCAGAAAAAUCAGGUUUCAUUGGAGCAACUCCUAGAAACAGGAAGGAGACAUACAGUAAUUUACUCAACGCUUGCUCCUCGGAAGUCUCUCUCCCACCUACCCUCAAGACCCUCGAUUGCUCUCAGCUCUUCGUUUUCCUGCCAGUCGUCCUCGUCGUUCUACACAUGAGACAAAAGAUCAACUCUGCCACUUUCAUAAAACUCACUCGACGACUUUCUUCCCACCACCUCCAGCCAAGUUGUCCACAGCAAUAGCCAAGAAGACAUUGAGCAGGAUGUCUGGUCAUAAAAUUAAGGAAGGACUCUUUCUCUCUCUCUCAUUUGAUUAAAACAAUAUAACAACGAAAUUCACAGACACAAAGGAUAGAAAGUCCUGAGAUGCAGCUGACGCCAUGUAAUGAAAAAGGAUACAGUUGCCACAGACAAAGAGGAUGACAAAAUAAAGGCACACCACCAUGUUAGGGAAGAUGGGUC
rnacentral:lncRNA from 1 species